CAACCCAAAACAAUCCAAUUUAAGUAGUAUUCUUCUAUACCCAAGUUUCCUUUCAAUAUCUUCCUUCACCAUCAUAGCUUCCUCUUCUUAGUUGAAUAUUCCGAUCUUAGUUAACGAUGUUGAGUUAGAAGAACGAUUUCCCAAUUACACCUUUUUUUGCAAUACUCUACGGUGUUUCCAUUACUAGAUCAACUUUGUUUGGAAAGGAUGGGAUACUUCUUGGAUCAGUUGACAUUUUUGAAUCCAAAGAUGAUUAUUUAUUUCGUGUUUCACUCCCCUUGUGUUUCACUCCCCUUGUGACACCAGGGAGUGAAACACGAAAUGAAUACUCAUCCUUGGAUUCAACAAUGUCAACUGAUCCACAAGUGGCCCGGCCUUUCCCAACGAAGCCGAUCCAAUAAGGACACCCGCCAUUAGCGUGAUUUAUAAGAUGGUUCCAUUCCUUUCUGUCUGGACAAGCAGAGAAAUGAACAAUUGUAGGCUGAUAGUUUUCUUGUAAAAGGCGGAAGGAAAUAAAGAGGGUUGGGAAAAUGGGAUAUAUUUUAUGAGAUAUAUUCCCUCAGUUUGAUGAAUAUUUUAAGAGAUCUGGUAGUGGAGAGAGGGUGGGAAAAAGUUCUAUUUUAGUUAUGUAUGUGAGUAGAUUCAUAGUUGUAGAAGAUUUGAAUAAAUUAAUUUUCUAUGUAAAUUUGAAAUAAUAUAUUUCGUUUAAA
rnacentral:lncRNA from 1 species